rnacentral:tRNA from 1 species
GAGGGUAUAGCUCAAGUGGUAGAGCACAUGCUUAGCAUUCACAAGGUCCUGGGUUCAGUCCCCAGUACCUUUU